AUGGGCCUUGGCUUGUUGGACUGAGUCCUGCUAUCAUACAUUUAUUACUUGGAGUUCAACCAGAGUUGGCAACUGUGGUAACUGAAGAUUGUGCAGACCUGGACUACAGAGCCACAAUACAACUUCUGCAAGGAGAUACAGCACUUACAGCAGACCAAGAGGACAAAAUAUCACACCUUACCUGUCAUGGGAUCUGCCAGCUGUAUCCACAACUAACAGGAGGUGGCUACACAAUAAAAUGUUGCUACAUGCUGUUGUAAGAAGGACCACACAGCAGGUAAAACAGUUGAGACGUGGCCUUAAGGAAAGUAUGUUUCGGCCCCUGCUGACAGCUAGGGCAGAUG